CCUGUUGAAAAUGUUUACAGUUUGGAGAAUGCUAACCUUGAUUUUUCAGGUUUGAGCUCCCUCUGGAAGCGGAAAGAGAAAUGACUCCACAUUACUGUACAUAUUUUAUUGCGAUGAUAGAUCGCAGGUGUUUCAACCGCUAUUGUCUGCCUUCCUCCCAGAGCUCCAGACAAGAGAGAUACAGCUACAAGAAACUUAGUUAGCUUGACCUUCUGAAGAGCUGAGGAGCAUCAGGAUAUUAAUGGUUCAAGAAGUUCUAGGAGUCAAGGAUUUUGAGAUUACAGUUCUAAAUUCCUUGAGUUUACCUGCAUGUCUUCAGCCAUUCUUCCGCCUUUCUAUCACUGUUACUCAUCAUUUGUUGUCUUUCAAUGUUGUAUCGUUAAGAAAUUAAGAUUUUAAUUUUAGUUAACCCUUGUGAGUCCUAUCUCCUCCGCAGUCUGCAUUAGGAGAGGGUCAUCUUCAGGUGAAUAGCCAGAUCUCUAAUUUACAAGAUAUGUGAUACAUGUCAGUGCCAGAUGACUCCUGUUUACAAAGGUCAGAUGAUACACACUUAGAGUAAACUCUCUUUCUUCACUCCCUCCCUCCCCAAAAUUUCCUGGUCUUGGUAUCUUCCUUAAGGCUAUUCAAGAAGCUACUUCAUUCACUUUGAAAAAAGCCAGAGGCAAGAAAGUUUAAGUCUUUGAUUGUCUUUAGCCUCAGAAUCCGGUUUUUUGUUUUUCUCUGUGUACCUAUGUGUGCAUUUUCCCAGCCCAAUCAAGCCAAGGGAUUGAAACUAGCAGGCUGGAGGCUCCAAAUGCCAUUUUUUACGUUGAUGUUUGCCAUAAGAGGAAUCAUGACCUAGUGAAUGGAAAAAUCUCCUUGAAGCUAGGGAGACUUGAAUUCAAUUUCAGACUCUGACACAUAUUGGCUUGAUUUUGCACAUGCAUGUCACUUAAUCCCCUAGGGUCCCAAGUAACUUUCUAAGACUAUAAGUAGCAAAGAAGGUGCCCACAAACACUGGAAGAUGGAACUUGUUCACCUGGGAGUUCCUUAUAUUAAUGGAACCACAGGCCUGAUCUCUAUCUUGUAUCUACCCAUCCUCUCUCAAGUCAUACAACAUUGUCAUCUUCUACUCCUGUAGGGAGCAUAAGAUCAUUUAUGAAUAAAUCACUAAUUUAUGGAAGUCUAAAUCAAUUCCUAUCCUUCUCUACCUUAUCCUUCCACUCUUGCUGGAGAACACAUCUGGGGAGAAACCAUGGAGUAUAUGAAAUCCCUUUGCUUAGAAGAAAAUAUGACUCCAGGAGGAAGGGGAGCCUCAGGGCUCUGUUUUCUGAUAAAGUGUUGGUUUCCUUUCUAUCAUAGAGGUGUUGUAGGAUACAAGAUGUGACAUCAGUAUCAGGUGUAGUUAGGUCUUGUAAGAAUCUACAUUAGCUAAACCAAAAGAGAAGCUUUCUUAGAACUCAUCCUGCAGCUGCAUAGUGGAGAGGCAGGGGAGAAAGACUGAUGAAAAAGGAGUGUGUGUGGAAAUUUGGAUCGCAUUUUCUGUGAAAGUUAAGAUUGGAAUUAGUUUUUGGAGCAGAAAGAACAGCAAAUCCAUGUGUUCAAUUAAGACAGAGAGAAAUAUGGAGAUGGAAGGUGGUCAGAAAGCCCAGCAAGUGGGACUAACCACGCCUGGGAGAGGAACAAAACUCCAUUUUUAUUUUUCCUCUGUAUCCCACUGACUGAAGACUUAGCUCUAUCAGUCUUAAUCUGGGUGCGAAAUUGUCAAUGUUCUCUGGGAUUAGGGCUUCCAGAACUUAAUGCAGCACUUCAGGGAGAUGGCUCUCUCUAGCUCUGGGCAGUUCAUCGGAGGCUCAGAGAAAAGCGUCAGUCUUGUAUGAUCUUUUCUACUCCUCUCUUGCAUGCAGUUUACCACACGUAGUCAAGGAUACAAUUUGGAAUCUUAUCAUCACCCCAAUCCAGACUGCAAAGAUGAUGAAAGAUCAACAGUGCAAAAAAUGGUGUCUGCAUCUCCCCCCUCCCCCCUUCUCUAUUCUCAAUAGCUGAAAUCUUUCUAGUACUUCUCCGAAAAAGCAUUUCCUUUCAAAAGUUAGUAACCGCCUAAGCAAUCUGUGCUGCACUAGUUAGUUGCAGCUUCAACAGAUGUUCACCUGGGAUUGCCAGGGAGAAGGUCCCAGAGACUGGAGGGGGGACCCCUAAACUCAGCUUUUUACGGCGAUGAACUUUUGGUUUUGAGUGGCUACAAACUGUCGAAAAGCAAUUUUGUUCCCGCUCUAAGUUCAAAAACAUUCUUCUUCAAGGCAUUCCAAAGUUGAAAAACUGCCGGGUGUUGUUUUACAGAAACAGGUCUUGAGAGAAUAAACCAAAUAUCUAGAGAUAUUUGUAAUCUCUCCAAAUCAUAACGCUGGCAUUGAGAUCGCCAUCAGGAUACUGAAUAGGAUCUUCCUUCAGACAGGGACUGAGAAGAGGAAAUACCACCACUGUGCAGCCCAGCCUCAGUGCUGAGGACUGAUUGAAAGAAACUGCUGCUCCAGAUGUUGCUCUAGCGGGCUUUCGAAGUGUGAGCAGGAACAGACUGACUCCAUCAACUGAGCUCUCCCUGUUUAGAGACAAGACUGCUUGAAGCAAUUAGGUUCACCAAUUAGCAUAGUUUUACUGACCCGGGCAACAGCAGCGCUGGCUCCUCAGAUUAUCCGCUCCUUCAAAGUCCCUGGAAAACGGAGGAAAACAUGCUCCCCAGGUGUGCCAGGCAGGAGAUGAGUCUACAAACAGGUUAGCUACUCUGGUUCUGACAAAAAAAAUGUUCGCCUUUUUCAGUAGUGGUACCUUAAAUACAUGUUGCAGAAAUAUGUGGAGAUUUUUCUUCCCUUUCCUUACCAAGGACUUCAUUCUAGUAUUUCCUCCUUUUGAUACUAUCUCUUCUCCUCUCCCUCAUUCACUUUUUUUGUUGUUGUUUGGUCAGAAUCCUUUCCCAGAAGAUAUACAUUUCCUGCCUCUCCUUCUCUUGCCCUGACAGUUCUGUGGAAAAGGCCAGGGCCCAGGGAUAAUUUGCUGCCUCCCUGCUUGAAACUAUGUUAGACAUCAAGCUGUUACAUGCCAUAUCAGCAAGUUUACACUUUUCUUGUGUUUUUCUGAAAGAGAAGAGGAACAUCUGUUUCAAUUAUAUAUCUGCAUCAUAAUUAUAACAAUUAAAGAGCUGCCAUGUAAGUAUACAGUAAAUAUAGUUUGCUGAAUGACCUAUACUUUUGUACUUGGAAAACUUAAGUGAUUUUGGAGCCAUUGAACAAAAUUUGUUUUCAUUAUCUUUUCUUUUUCUUCCUCUUUCUCUUCAUUUUCCUCCCCCCAUCUUCCUCCUCUAUUUCAUAGAGAGUUUUAGAAAAGUAAUUCUUUUCUUUUAAGAAUAAGAUACUUGAUGCUAGUCAUGUUCUAUUUUGUAUAAGAGGGAAAUUUGACAAUGGAGACGUAUACAUACACAUGUCAGAUUGUUGAAUGUCGUUUGUGAAAAUAUUUUUUUUUCCUAAAGGGGGCAUAUCUAAGAUUAUGAUUCAAUCAUCAGAUACCUCCCCAUAUUGACUUAAUAAUGAUGCUAGAACAACACUGCAGUGAAUUAGUAAAAAGAAAAUCCAAAUUCACUCGGUGUUAUUUAUGCCAUUUAUUUAGUUUUUACAUCUUAUUUGGCUGGAAACUGGGAAAGACAGUUACAUUUUUAUUUGUGAUCAUUUUCACUUUCUUGUUUUGUUUUAACAUAACACUAUCAAGUUUAUGUUUUAAACAAUACUGGAGUAUCUAGAAAACCAAACAAAAGACUCUUUCCAUUGAUUGACCUUUAAAAAAAUUCUGGGAAAUUAAAAAAAAAAAGUUUUACUUUUGGAGCAGAACAGGCAAUUUUUUUCAAAAGGUCUAUACAUAAGGCCCGAGAUAUUGAUCCUUUUAAAAUAGCAUAGAAAAAAAAUGGAAUUUUAGAGCCAGCAGUGUCUAAUGAGUCCAUUCCCUUGUUUAGAGAAGACAAAACUGAGACACUUGUUUAACAGUGCUGAGACUAGAAUUCAAGUUUUGAUUCUUAAUUUGUUCUCACUACUUGUCAACUAUAAUUUUGAUGGACCCCCUGUUAUUUUCAUAUUCAGGAAUAAUAGAUCCAUAUGACUUUGUAGCCAAGAAAACUAGAAGAGAAAACUUUAUUACUAAAGGGUCUUUUUGGAAGGGACUUUUUCUUCCCUGUCUUUACAGUAUCACAUAGGAAGUUGGUGUAAAGGUCAUGAAGAUAAGGAAUUUAUCCACAUCCUGCUCAUAUCACAUUUCCUGGAGUUUUCCUGGAAAGAAUGAAAAGCUUUACUCUCUUUGGGACAUACUUGUACUAGACUCCUUGUGUACUAGACUUCCUUUUCUGAGGUCUUCAAAACAAGUGAAUUUAGGAGGUAAAGGUAGAUAUAUCCAGUUAAAAUGCUACCACAAAUCUGCGUUAUUAUAACAGUUUAAAUGCUAUAGUUUAGUUAAUAGUUAAAUAGUUUAAACUGUACUUUAAAAAAUAUUACAAUGGUUCUUUAAUCUCAUGAAUAUGGAUGUUCCCCUCAUGGGCUUAGGAUACAAGUCAUCUAUGCCUUCUUCCAUGUGAUUUCUGUUUAUUUUCUCAUGUAAUCCUUUGUUGUAGAAGAUAUUCUCUAUAUGCUAGAGGCUAACCUGGUAACCAGAGGUAGUCCACCAUUAAUUAUAAUUUAAUUUUGCUAACUACUUGUACACUGUGUUUUCUGAUCAUAAGUUAUUGGCUAGCUUCUAUGCAAAUUAUUUAGGGUUUUUUCAUUCAUUUAAUUUUAUUUAAAAAUUAUCAGACAUUGAUUUUUUUCUUCCUCUCAUCUUUUUGCACUCAUUCUAAAGAAAGUCAGAAACUUGUAUCAUCUAAGCAUAGUCAAGCAAAAUAAAUCUCCACUUUUAACACAUCCAACAAUACAUUUCUUAUUCUAUAUAUUAAACCAUGGCUUCUGUUAUAUGGUGGGUACAAUAUUACAUAUACAUUUAAAAUACACCAGGAGAAAUGUUGGAAAUCAAACAAAAAUCUUUUCUGGUGACCUGUAAAGAUAAAUUCUUAUAGCUUUCCCCAAUACCCCAAUGAUUCAGAAGUGCAUUCGUGCAUCCUCUGAACUCUUAUAGUUCUUGGUGUCUCUUAUGUAGUUUACCCAUGGUGCUUUGAAUAUUAUUUAUUUUUGCAUAUGUAGAAUUACAAAGUUGGAAGGGACCUUAAUGAUCAUUCAGUUUCACCUAUAUCUAGACAAGAGUCCUUUCUAAAACAUAACCAACAGAGAGAUUAUCUAGCUUUCACUUGAAGAUAUUUAGUAAUGGAGAAGUCACUACUUCCAGAGGCAAUCUAUUUAAUUUUUGGAUAGUUAGAAAAUAUUUGCAUAUACCAAAUUUAAAUUUAUCUCACUGCAACUUCUUCUUAAGUACUUACAGUUUUAUUUUCUGGGGUCCACAAACAAACCUAAUUCCUUGUCCUUCUCCCAACUCCCCACUCCUCUUCCACAUUUCAGUCCUUCAAAUCUAAAAAAGAAGAUUAUCAUGUAUCCCUAAGAGAGUGGAUUCUUAAUCCCUCUUAUGUCAUAGACCCUUUAGCAGUCUUAUACAAUUUAUGAACCUUUUCUCAGAACAAUUUUUUAAAUGCUUAAAAUAAAACACAAAUAAUACUAAAGGAAAU